GGGGAACCGCCUGAACUGAAACAUCUAAGUAGGGCGAGGAAGAGACAUCAAACGAGAUUCCGUAAGUAGUGGCGAGCGAACGCGGAAGAGGGCAAACCGGAAGUAGAAAUACUUCCGGGGUACGGACUGCUUUUAGGACUUAAUCUGUUAACCGAACGGCAUGGGAAGGCCGGUCAGAGAGUGUGAGAACCACGUAGGUGAAAACGGAGAGAGCUGCGCAGGAUCCAGAGUACGGCCAGACACGUGAAACCUGGUCGGAAUACGGGGGGACCACCCUCCAACCCUAAAUACUACCCAGUGACCGAUAGCGUAUAGUACUGUGAAGGAAAGGUGAAAAGCACCCCGGGAGGGGAGUGAAAAAGAACCUGAAACCCUGUGCCUACAAGCACCUAGAGCACGUCAAUGUGUGAUAGGGUACUUUUUGUAGAACGGUCCGGCGAGCGAUUGUAUGCAGCAAGGUUAAGGACUUAAGGUCUGGAGCCGAAGCGAAAGCGAGUUUGAAAAGGGCGUUAAGUUGCAUAUAAUGGGCCCGAAACCGGGUGACCUACCCAUGGUCAGGUUGAAGUGGAAGUAAAAUUCCAUGGAGGACCGAACCGACCUCCGUUGAAAAGGCGGCGGAUGAACUGUGGGUAGCGGAGAAAUUCCAAUCGAACCCGGAGAUAGCUGGUUCUCCCCGAAAUAGUUUUAGGACUAGCCUCAAGUUAGAUACCUGGAGGUAAAGCACUGAAUAGCCUAGCGGCCGAGAGGUUAGCGAAGCUUAUCAAACUCAGAAUGCCAGAGUAUUGAUGCUUGGGAGUCAGACAGUGUCAGAUAAAUGUCAUUGUCAAAAGGGAAACAGCCCAGAUCUACAGCUAAGGUCCCAAAGUCAGGUUAAGUGGAAAACGAUGUGAAGAUACGCAGACAACCAGGAUGUUGGCUCAGAAGCAGCCACUCAUUCAAAGAGUGCGUAAUAGCUCACUGGUCGAGCGUCUUUGCGCGGAGAAUUUAACGGGGCUAAACCUGACACCGAAGCUUAGGCAAUACAGCAAUGUAUUGGGUAGGGGAGCGUUGUAUACGCGGUGAAACAGUAGCGCAAGCGGCUGUGGAGUGUAUAGAAGUGAGAAUGCCGGAAUGAGUAGCGCGAAUGCAGUGAGAAUCUGCAUGGCCGAAAGCCUCAGGUUUCUGGAGGAAGGUUCGUCCGCUCCAGGUUAGUCGGGAGCUAAGGUGAGGCCGGAAGGCGUAGCCGAUGCACAGACGGUAGAGAUUCCGUCACCACCAAAAGAGUUAAGCACAGGGACACAUUUGAAGUCUCAGAGCCGGGUGUUGGUUCCGGUAGAGAUCGAGGGAAGUUAGUACCGAAGUCUGAGAUGGAAGAUGGCGAGAAAAGCUGUGUGUAUUUCUGAGGUGCCCGUACCGCAAACCGACACAGGUAGGUAGGAAGAAGAUUCUAAGGCCAACGGGAGAAGGGUUGUUAAGGAACUCGGCAAAUUGACCCCGUAACUUCGGGAGAAGGGGUGCUCCAGAGAUGGAGCCGCAGAGAAUCGGCCCAAGCAACUGUUUACCAAAAACACAGGUUUGUGCUAAAUCGAAAGAUGACGUAUACGAGCUGACGCCUGCCCGGUGCUGGAAGGUUAAGAGGAGAUGUGCAAGCAUUGAAUCGAAGCCCCAGUGAACGGCGGCCGUAACUAUAACGGUCCUAAGGUAGCGAAAUUCCUUGUCAGGUAAGUUCUGACCCGCA
rnacentral:rRNA from 1 species